AAGGCAGCACGUAUUAGAGCCGAAACGAGCAGCUAUUGAUGAUAAAAAUGUAGCUUAAUUUGUCUUUUAAAUAGCCGAAUUGUAUACGCUAUAACUCGAAUUUAAGUGCACACCAAUAUAUUAUAUAUUUAUGAGCCUGUUUUAUGUAGUUACGAUGACAUAAACCUAGUGAAGGCUCUGGAAUAUACAUAUUUAUACAUGUAGCUUAGCGUUAGCAAUGAAAUAUUGAAGCUUAAGUCAAGUUAGCUAAAGCUAAGAGGUUCCACUGCGUCUUAAUAUGUACAAAUACAUGGAUCCAGCUUCCAAUCACAGUGCUUUUGAAGUCAUCACGUUGAGCAACGUUAAUUAAAGAUCGGCUCAUCAUCAAUCAGGAGUUUUCCAAUCAACAAACCACCGGUGAAACAGCAGCGAGGCUGCAGACCUCCGCGCCGCUCUGACUCCUGCAGUCGUUUGGAGACACCGGAGCCGACCACGGGACUCUUUAGAGUUCUUCCCGGCAGCGAUUCCCCCGGGAACCCGGUGCUAAGUGAUCCGCUGCAUCGAUCCGAAUGAGACUCAAAGGCCCGGGUGGUUUGAUGAACCCAGAAAGUUUGAGCAGCUUAUCGAACGGCAUCCGCGACACUCAAAAUGAUCCCGAGGCGGCGCCUGUUGACGAUGGUCAACAACAACAACAACAACAAAAGCCUCUGUGGGCGUCCGGCUCCCAGGGCGCAGUGUGUGGAAUCAAAGGACUCGCCUACCUGCCUCCGCCGCUCGUUUAGCCCCCCGGAGAAGAGACGGAGGCUUUGAACAUGUCCCACCGAGUGUCAGAGAUCACAAGCAGGAACACGUCUCACAUUGGAAUCACUUUCACCAGCUGCAGCGAUGCUCCGAUGUCGUUUAUUUACACCAUCAAAACAUCCGUGAGACGGAACCACGAAGGUAGAACAUCUUCCCCAACUUACUAACGCCCGUCUAUUCUUAAAUAAACUUCUCCUGCUUGUUUUACUACGUCAACGGUUGCAGCUUCUCUUCCCUCCUUCACACAAAAACUGCAGCUUUAAAGCAGGAAAACCAUUUUUAGGAGUUUUUUCUCUCUCGCUUUAUCUCUGCCUCCCAUUUCAGCCUCUGCUU